UGGAUUAACGAUGGCCGCUGAUGCCCGAUGAGUCAUGGGUUGUGAAUACAGAUCUGAGAGUCUGGGAUCUAU